GUAGUUAGCCGGGGCUUCCUCCUAUGGUACCGUCAUUUGUUUCUUCCCAUAGGACAGAAUUUUACAAUCCGAAGACCUUCUUCAUUCACGCGGCAUUGCUGGGUCAGGCUUUCGCCCAUUGCCCAAUAUUCCCCACUGCUGCCUCCCGUAGGAGUCUGGGCCGUGUCUCAGUCCCAGUGUGGCCGUUCAACCUCUCAGUCCGGCUACCCAUCGCGGUCUUGGUGAGCCGUUACCUCACCAACUAACUAAUGGGACGCGAGCCCAUCUUUAAGCGGAUUUCUCCUUUAACUCUAUGGUCAUGCGACCUCUGAGUCUUAUGCGGUAUUAGCACUGAUUUCUCAGUGUUGUCCCCCUCUUAAAGCCAGGUUGCUCACGCGUUACUCACCCGUCCGCCACUAAGCUAUCUCGGCGUCUCUUCUUUGUGCAAGCACUCCAAUUUGACAGUGAGAUUGCUCCGUUCGACUUGCAUGUGUUAGGCAUGCCGCCAGCGUUCGUCCUGAGCCAGAAUCGAACCCUGA
rnacentral:rRNA from 1 species